UUUUAUCUUUAUUUGGAGAAAGACAUUGUGUUGUACGCCUAAAUGUAUAUAAACUGCGGCUGGUAUUACGGUUACCUGUGCUAUUGCGUGCCAGAAACAAAUAAUCUGCGUGUUGCUCUUUAAUUUUGUUUUCUGUUUGUCCUUUUUCUUUUCUUGUUUGUCUUCUACAAGAGUUGCCGAUGCAAAGGCCAGUCCAGACACGGCCUUCGCAUACUGUCAUACAGGCCUGAUGGAUGUGACGUCACUGACGUCAGUGCGACUAGGCCAUCCGCGUCUACUGGGUGUGCCGGGAGUGUUGUGGAACUCCGCCGUGGUCUUGUUUUAAGUGGUUUUAGUGCACUCACUAGGCCUUCUGCCAUGCCUUACAAGUGUUGCGUUCCUUUAUGUAAAGGAAAUUACAAAAGUGGGCCAAAGGUGUGCUUAUUUUCAUUCCCAAAAGAAGAGAAGCUUGCGCGGGCUUGGCUUCAUGCUAUCAAGCAAGCAGAUUCCACCCCAACCAAAAACACCAAGCAGGUCCUUCAUGGAGGGACUGGGGGUGAUUGAACAGCCACCCAUUGCCUGCAACAAAACUCUCCAAAGUGUUGGGAUGCCAGAGGGAGGUGAGAAUAACCCACCUGGGUAUGAGGCAGUGCUACUUAUAGAGGCCUCUCAAUGAGCCAUGUGCAUCACCCCAGCAACCCUCGACUCCCAACGGCCACAAUCCGUCCAAGCAACUGCCCCAGAACACCACUGCCACCCCAGCUGAGGUCCUCUUAUGCACUGAGGCCUCCAGCAGGUCCUUCAUGGAGGGACUGGGGGUGAUUGAACAGCCACCCAUUGCCUGCAACAAAACUCUCCAAAGUGUUGGGAUGCCAGAGGGAGGUGAGAAUAACCCACCUGGGUAUGAGGCAGUGCUACUUAUAGAGGCCUCUCAAUGAGCCAUGUGCAUCACCCCAGCAACCCUCGACUCCCAACGGCCACAAUCCGUCCAAGCAACUGCCCCAGAACACCACUGCCACCCCAGCUGAGGUCCUCUUAUGCACUGAGGCCUCCAGCAGGUCCUUCAUGGAGGGACUGGGGGUGAUUGAACAGCCACCCAUUGCCUGCAACAAAACUCUCCAAAGUGUUGGGAUGCCAGAGGGAGGUGAGAAUAACCCACCUGGGUAUGAGGCAGUGCUACUUAUAGAGGCCCUCAAUGAGCCAUGUGCAUCACCCCAGCAACCCUCGACUCCCAACGGCCACAAUCCAUCCAAGCAACUUCCCCAG